AAUGAUUAUAACCGAUACAAUCUCAGCACGCUAUAUAAGAAAAAGCAUGAUGGCUCAUUGAAAGAUCAAGCAACUAGAUCGUGAUAAAUCCUCACUCUCUUUUUUAUAUAAAUUAGACUAGAGGACCCCAUAUAUGAGUCUGUCAGCUCGCUCUCACCUCCUUACUCUUUUCAAAUCUCUAUAUUCCUUUUGAAAACUCCACCUAACUUAAUCAUUGA
rnacentral:lncRNA from 1 species